UUCACCCGUGCUUCUGCUUUAAAUUCCUAGUGCGGUACCUGCUCUUAUCAGUUUAAUAUCUGAUAUAUCCCCUAUCUGGGGACCAUAUAUUAAACUGAUUUUUGCAGCAGGGAGAUGGAAAAGGGGUUUGUUCCGUCCACUCCACGCAUCAAGCAGGUAUCUCCAGGGUAUCCAGGAACAGUACACUCAUU